GCAUUGCCCUGUUUCUCUUCUCCACCCAGACGCCUCUCCUCCACUCAUUAGGCAUCCCACCUUCUCCCUCUCCCUUUCCCAUCGAAACCCUAGCCUCUUCCUCUCUUCCCUCUGCGCCGCCAUCCUCCCCUUUCUCCUCCUGGAGACAACGAGAGAAGCAGAGGAAGUUUCAGAAAACAGGUUCAGUGAACGGCAUCCUUCGCCGCGACGAAAUCAUCAAGCUCGCCGUCGUUCCCGGCCGCCUCCGGCCCAGUCGAGGUGUUCAUCUUACUCAUGGUGAGACGGCACCCCUAUUCCACCUCUUCCCUGUCAUGUUUUCUCUUUGUUCGGCGUCGCCAAAAAUCUGACGAAACUGUCAUUCGUGUAUGUUCGAGCGCGCCUCCGCCAUGGUCGACGGCGUACCUGCGUGCCGCUCAUGCUCGUUCCUGGCAGAUUCCUUCCCGGCCUACCUCGUCCUCCACCACAGCCUCCCGGGUGCGCUUGCUCCCAGGUUCACCCAUGCAAUUUCGGUGAGUACUUGCCAUAUGCCACAGCCCUCCACGACAUCCACCUGGCGUUCGCUGGUAUGGAGGACAGGGCCACCCGAUCCGUUCGAUCUGAGAACCAGGCCCGCUUCAAUCUGGACCGUCCUACCAUCAAACAGAACCCACCAGCGAGGGUAACCCUAGCCGGCCGCUCCCGACCUGUGCCCUUCUCUCCCUCUCCAGGUCCUCACCCCCGGCGGCGCCCUCUCCUCUCGCGUACGGCGUUCCAACUCCCAAGCCCUCGCCGUCGUGUACUCCCUAGAAGCAGAGAGCGGGAGGACGAGGCCGUCGUCCUCGCCCUUGGGAGCCCGCGCUGCUGGGGAGAACGAGGAGGCUGCAGCGCUCUGCCUCUCCGCUGUCUCCUUCCACCGCUCGUCGCCGCCCUGCCGGCCUACUACUGCACCAUGGAGCCCUCUUCUCCACGUCGCCCCCGUCGCUUUUCCUCUUGCCCUCCGGGGCCCUGUUCAGGUGGAGUACGCAUCCGAGGUGACGAUUUGAUUACAAGAUCCGAGGCGAUUAUCUGAGUACGCAUCUUCGCCCAAUUCCUUUCUUUCGUGUCUUACUUUGGGCAGGGUAUUGCAACUCAGUUGUUGUUAUUUUGGUAUUGCGUCCACCAGCUGAGCGGUGAGGCGAAGUUGACGCAGUUGUUAAUGUUGGUGCUACUGUGAGGAGGUAGUGGGCUAGCCAUGCCUCCAUGGUCUGGCGUCCGUGUUUCAAGUUUGUUCCAGUAGCAAGUGAUGUUUAGAUUUAUUUAUUGGAGCUAUAAUAUCAGUGCAUAGUAUUUAUCUGCUGCUGUGAUUUUGUUUAGUCUGCUAGCUAGAUUAGAUCUGUUUGGUGUUUUCUUAGUUCUAUUUUAUUAAAAUGCGCAACCACAAUUGGCAUACAUUUUGUGCAGCUGAGCUGACCAAUGUUUUCUAUUCAAUAUUCAUAAGUGGGAACUAUUAGACAUUUAUGAACAACCUUGGUUCGUGUAUUCUAUUUCGUGGUUUAUCUGCAAUUUCGUAAUUAUUCAUGACUGCCAUAACCCCUAACCUUUCUUUUCUUUGUAACUGUAGCAAUAGGUUGCUAUAGCGCUUUGAUUGAUCCUAAUUGAAUGAUAGGUGGCAGGUCCUUUGUUCCUCUCUUGGUUUUAGGCCACUCCUUGCUCUUAUAUUAACUUCAUUUUUGUGUGAGAUUUGGACGAUUGAGAUCUAGGAAUGGUUUUAGGCGAUGCACCUGCUUUCGGAUAACGGAGAGGGGUGUUAGUUCUCUGAUCAUUAUCCCCUUUGAACUGAAUCAUAGAGAGAUUGAAGCAUUGCAUGCUCAGGGAUGCCUUCAUUGUUCCAGUACUUGUUGAGACAAUUGAUGAAUCGAUAGCUGCAUAUUCAGUCCUACAUCUUUGAUGACAAAUUAUCUUUUGAGACAUGUUGUGUAUAUUGUGCCUUUGAAGCCCAGGGUGUUGUUUCUUUAUCUGGAUAAUGGUGUUUCAAACCUUAGUUCCAACAAUGUAUCUUCAGUCUUCUUUUAGCAAAAGAAUGAUGUUGAAAAAUAUAUACCGGAGGAGCUUGAAAAGGCAGUGGUACUGAAUACGGUGAGGCCAGGAUCGGAGGCGGCCAUGUGGUUGCUGCGACGGGCAUGGCUAGAUUUUUUGUGGUAGGAAUACAUGGCUUUUUUUAAUAGUAAACAUGCACGUCUAUGUUUUGUUUGACACAAAUGAGCACGCCGGCCACAGAGACUAUUUAAAAUCGACAAGAUGGAUCACGGAACAAAAUUGAACACCCCUAAAUGCAUUCGUAGCUACCACCAUAGGUACUAAAUCCGCGUUAAUAGUUGUAUAUGCUGUGCUUUUGAAAUCACUGAAUUCUCAUCAUGUUGUUACAUUUCGAGAGGUGCAUAAAUCAAAUCUUUAAUCAGAUGACUGAAAACGAUUAUCCUAUAUAGUUGUAUAUGAUGUGUGCUUCUAAAAUUAUUGAAUACUCAUCAUGUAGUUACUUCUCAAGAGGUGCAUAAAUUGUAAUCCCUAUUAUUUUCCAAGUGUGAAUGAAUUGAUUAAGUGCAUGCCACUUCAAAGCCAAACUGAGCCAAUAGUAGGUUGACUCAUUAGGAGAGUUGCAACAUUUGGGCUUCGCUGAUAUCCUCCCUUUAUGCAAUGCCUAUUGUAAUUAACAUUGUUGUAUAUAUACCGUUAUUUCCUUGAUAUCUCUUAUCUGGUUUCAUUGGUUUAUUUAACACUGCAAGCUUAAUUCAUUUACAA